AAGUUUGACUUAAAUGAAGGUUUUAUUUCUGAUGAGGGGAAAUAUGGGGAGUCAAUCAACUCGACAGGCCCUGGAUGUUUGUCGAAUGUCCAAAUAAUGAGCCCAUCAACAUUUGCUGUCUCUUCUGUUUCCAGUAGCCUUCCUGCUUCCAUUACGGUGGCUGCUGCUGCCAAAGGACCUUUUGUCCCACCAGAAGAUCUAUUGAGAGUCAAAGGGGAGUUUGGAUGGAAAGG
rnacentral:misc_RNA from 1 species